GAUGAGAACGCAGCGAAAUGCGAUAAGUAAUGUGAAUUGCAGAAUUCAGUGAAUCAUCGAGUCUUUGAACGCACAUUGCGCCCCCUGGUAUUCCGGGGGGCAUGCCUGUCCGAGCGUCAUUGCCGCCCUCAAGCACGGCUUGUGUGUUGGGCCCCCGCCCCCCGGCUUCGGGGGGCGGGCCCGAAAGGCAGCGGCGGCACCGCGUCCGGUCCUCGAGCGUAUGGGGCUUCGUCACCCGCUCUGUAGGCCCGGCCGGCGCCCGCCGGCGACCCCAAUCAAUCUUUCCAGGUUGACCUCGGAUCAGGUAGGGAUACCCGCUGAACUUAAGCAUAUCAAUAAGCGGAGGA
rnacentral:misc_RNA from 1 species